rnacentral:misc_RNA from 1 species
GAUGAAGAACGUAGCAAAAUGCGAUAAGUAAUGUGAAUUGCAGAAUUCAGUGAAUCAUCGAAUCUUUGAACGCACAUUGCGCCCGCCAGUAUUCUGGCGGGCAUGCCUGUUCGAGCGUCAUUUCAACCCUUAAGCACAGCUUGGUGUUGGGACUCGCGUUAAUUCGCGUUCCUCAAAUUGAUUGGCGGUCACGUCGAGCUUCCAUAGCCUAGUAGUAAAACCCUCGUUACUGGUAAUCGUCGCGGCCACGCCGUUAAACCCCAACUUCUGAAUGUUGACCUCGGAUCAGGUAGGAAUACCCGCUGAACUUAAGCAUAUCAAUAAGCGGAGGA